UGUGGGUACGAAGACUGAAAGAAAUUAUUUCGGUUUUUUCAUGGCAAAAAGUAGAUAUUUUGCAAGACAAUUUAUAAUAUAAGUAUUCUUUGAUGUAAACAACUCAGCUAAUUUCACUUCAGAUGGAUAUAUAUAGACCCGUGAAGAUCCG